UGUGUGUGUGUGUGUGUGUGUGUAUGUAUGUAUGUGUGUGUGUAUAUAUAUAUAUAUACAUACAUACACACACACACACACACACACA